UAAAUGUUGAUGAGUUUUGAAGGUAUUUGAACAUCAGUCCCAGGCUGCUUCCAGAGAAUUCCAUCUUCUUUACAAUCUCCAUCUCUUCACUAAUCCCUGAGAUCCAGUGCAGGUUCCUGAAGAAGACUGCUGCAGGAUGAUGCAGGGCUUCCAGCUUCAUGUCUCUGUGUACGCAUAAUAAAAUCCAGUCAUUAGUGUUAUGAGAUGUUCACUCCUGUACUCAGUUCUCUUUAACAUACAGCAGGGUUACUGGUGGUACUGGUUUGUGGAUUUGUGUACAGUCCCUGACAAAAGUCUUGUCACUUAUCUAUUUUGUAGAAACACCUGCUAUUAACCUGAUUUUUAAUUAAUUAACUGGUGUUAGAAAUAGCUCAUAUGAAAAGCUAAAACCUUCCCAAAUGAUGUUUACUGCACGGAAAUUAAUCAGUUUCACUGAAAAAAGAUUUAUCAUUUAAUCAAGACAGAAGUUUUGUCUAUACAGAAAUUGAACAAAUUUACUGCAAAUACAAAAAUAUGUCAGCAAAUGAAGUAGUGGUGCUGUGAGAUCCAAAUUUAAUAUCUUGUAUGACUUCCAUGAGCUUGAAGGAAGUCAUCAGGAAUAGCAAAGAAAGCAGUCCUGCAUGCCUCCCAGAGUUCAUCAAUAUACUUUGGUUUCAUCCUCCAUGCUUCCUCCUUCAUCCUACCCCACAUAUGCUCAAUGAUGUUCAUGUCUGGUGACUGGGCUGGCCAAUCCUGGAGCAUCUUGAUCUUCACCUUGAGGAACUUUGAUGUGGAGAUGGAAGUAUGCGAUGGAGCACCAUCCUGCUGCAGAAUUUGGCCUCUUUAUGGUUGGGAAUAUAAGAGGUAGAGAUUUCAUGGUAUUUUAGACUAUUGAUGUUGCGUUCCACCCUGCAGAUCUUUUGCACACCCCCCAUACUGGAUGUAACCCCACACCAUGAUUAUUCCGCCACCAAACUUCACUGUUUUCUGGGUGAAUCUCGGAUCUAUGCGGGCUCCAGUAGGUCUCCUGCAAUAUUUGCGGCGACUGUGGUGUAAUUCAACAGAAGAUUCAUCUGAAAAAUCCACCUUUUGCCACUUUUCCAGCGUCCAUCCUUUUAGCAGGCUUUAGCAGGUUUGUUUUGCACUGAAUUUCUUGUAAAUAAAUCUUGAUUAAAAAUAUAUUUCAGCAGCACUUCAGGUCAAUUUGUACAUUGAUCUGAAGUGCUUCUUGACUUGACUUGAAAAAACUCAACAUUUGAGCUCAUUAUAGAUCAACAUCAGCUUCUCCAUGCCAGAUCCUUUAACACUUGUCCAGUGUUCAGAAAUGUGUGUGCCACAACUGUUGGUUGAGGUUUUGAAGUUUACUAAGUUUAAGUGCUAAAAAUAUAACAGAUCAAUAUUUUUUUCUACUUUUUUCACUUAAAUCUGUUUUGCUUCACAUUUCACACAGUUUAUGUUAAAGGUCCAGUUCAGAAAAACUCUGAUCUUUCAAAAAUACUGUCUUUCACAUUAAGCCAUGUUCAGCGUUUUUCAUGUAAAGAGUUUUAGUAUGUCCUUCCAGUUCUUCCUGUGACAAACAUCUGCAAAUAACAGAAAUGUUACCACUUCCACCCUCUAAUAAAUACCUCUCCAUCUGUGUGUAGAUAUCAUGUUGAUAAAGACCACCAACAGAAGCACACAGGGGGUCAGUAGGAAGUUCCUCUCCAUCAGCUGCUUUUCAGUUUCCUUCCUGACGCUCCAAAUCUCAGGAAUCAUCUUGUAUACUGGAAUAUAUGCCAAGUGUGUGGCCUUUAGCCUGGAACAUUGUGUGUGUGUGUAAGGCAGUGGGAGUGGUCCUUCAGAGGUCUCAGGAACUUUCACUUUGAAAGCUGUUCUGUUCACACGGGGGUUUUUCCUAGUCUGCUUCAAGAUGAAAGUUUGUGUUUUCUUUUCGUUAUUCACUUUACUGUGUGUGGGAUUGUGUGGGUCGUCUACACACGCAGGAAAUUGUACUGCUCCUGUUCUGAGUGUGGCGUCUCUGGAGGUGGAAUACGGACAGCCAGCAAACGUCACCUGCUCCAUACAGAAGAAACCUGAUGCAGAAUACAUACUGGGCUGGGAGUCGAAAUCAGCACAGAAUAGUACAAACAAUGAGAUGAGUGUGACGUGGAAGGUGGAGGAACUGACAAACUGGGAGGAACCUGAAGGAAUUAGGUGUUUCUUUUUUCUGGGACAUCAUUGUGUGACUUUUUAAAUCUCACCAUUUACAAGAAACCAGACUCAGUUAACCUGAGAUCUUCAUCUGAAGUGUGUGUAGAAGGAAAACAGAUUGAGUUGAGUUGUGAGGUCGUAAACGUGGGUCCUGGACGUAUUCUCAGUGUACGCUGGAGCAGAGCAGAUCCCAAACAAAACACUUUCACAAUCUUCCAUGAAAGUACAGUCCCAGAUUUGGAAAAUGAGAAAAAGAAUGUGAGCAGAACAGUGAAUGUAACCAUCACACCCACACGUGAGGACGAUGGAGCUCAGUAUCAGUGUGAAGCUCUGCUGAAUCUCAACCAACCACUUGUGUUCAAAUCAGAGAAACCAAUCACCAUCUCUGUACACUACAAGAAGAAGAACUUCUACUGGCUCCUGUUUCUUCUAAUUGUGCCUAUAGUUCUGGGAAUCUGGGCCUUCAUCCAUUACAGACACCAACGCAUCGGCCAAUACAUCCUGAAGCACCUGGGAGUUAACCAUGCCAACCAGAACGCUGACAGAACUUAACUGUAGAUACUGCAUUCAUCAUGAAUUAAAGAAACGGCCUUAUCAGUUCAGAACUUGGAAAUUCUGAAGGAUCUCCUUAACCUCCUCAAGCCCAUGUUCAGCAUGAGAUCAUUACGACACAUCUGAGUGCAACACAGAGUAACUACAGCACUUCUUCCUAUAGAUCUAUUAGCAUACAGCACUGAUACCGCUGACUGUUAGGGGUGUAACGGUUCAUGUAUUCAUACCAAACCUUUACACUAAACUGACCAUACUGAAUUUCCGUCUCCACCUCGCACUCCCAGUUAAACUUACAAACAUACACAACACUGCCGGGGGUGUAAAUAAGAAACUGGAGUUAGCGCAGUGUCACGGUGGCUGCUCGCUCCAGACUGCGCUUCCAACCUUCACCAACGCUAGCGCUAUGGAGUCUUCAGCAUUUUAUAUCCAGUGUCAAGAGAAAAUCCUGAUAAUUCCACAUAUUUAAGGAGUGGACGAAUGAAGGAUGGAAGGAAUGAAGACUUUUAUCUGCUGAAAUAAAUAGAACAGUUCAGUAGAUCAUAUCAUUAGAAAAUUACAUAUUUACAUGUGAAAUACACACACACACACACACACACACACACACACACACACACA